UGGGGAAUUUUGGACAAUGGGCGAAAGCCUGAUCCAGCAAUGCCGCGUGUGUGAAGAAGGCCUUCGGGUUGUAAAGCACUUUUGUCCGGAAAGAAAUCCUUGGACUCUAAUACAGUCGGGGGAUGACGGUACCGGAAGAAUAAGCACCGGCUAACUACGUGCCAGCAGCCGCGGUAAUACGUAGGGUGCAAGCGUUAAUCGGAAUUACUGGGCGUAAAGCGUGCGCAGGCGGUUUGCUAAGACCGAUGUGAAAUCCCCGGGCUCAACCUGGGAACUGCAUUGGUGACUGGCAGGCUAGAGUAUGGCAGAGGGGGGUAGAAUUCCACGUGUAGCGGUGAAAUGCGUAGAGAUGUGGAGGAAUACCGAUGGCGAAGGCAGCCCCCUGGGCCAAUACUGACGCUCAUGCACGAAAGCGUGGGGAGCAAAGCAGGAUUAGAUACCCUGGUAGUCCACGCCCUAAACGAUGUCAACUAGUUGUUGGGGAUUCAUUUCCUUAGUAACGUAGCUAACGCGUGAAGUUGACCGCCUGGGGA
rnacentral:rRNA from 1 species